CGGGGAGGCAGACUAACAGGAUUCCCCUAGUAACUGCGAGUGAAGCGGGAAAAGCUCAAAUUUAAAAUCUGAGGGUCCUUGCGGCCUUCCGAGUUGUAAUCUAGAGAAGUGUUAUCCGCGCUGGACCGUGUACAAGUCUCCUGGAACGGAGCGUCAUAGAGGGUGAGAAUCCCGUCUUUGACACGGACUACCAGGGCUUAUGUGAUGCGCUCUCAAAGAGUCGAGUUGUUUGGGAAUGCAGCUCUAAAUGGGUGGUAAAUUCCAUCUAAAGCUAAAUAUUGGCGAGAGACCGAUAGCGAACAAGUACCGUGAGGGAAAGAUGAAAAGAACUUUGGAAAGAGAGUUAAACAGUACGUGAAAUUGUUGAAAGGGAAACGCUUGAAGUCAGUCGCGUUGUCCAGAAAUCAACCUUGCUUCUGCUUGGUGUACUUUCUGGUUAACGGGUCAGCAUCAAUUUUGACCGGUGGAUAAAGGUCAGGGGAAUGUGGCAUCUUCGGAUGUGUUAUAGCCCUUGGUUGCAUACAUCGGUUGGAAUUGAGGAACUCAGCACGCCGCAAGGCCGGGUUUUUAACCACGUACGUGCUUAGGAUGCUGGCAUAAUGGCUUUAAUCGACCCGUCUUGAAAGCGGGAACCAGGGA
rnacentral:rRNA from 1 species